AUUGAACGCUGGCGGCAGGCCUAACACAUGCAAGUCGAGCGGAUGAAAGGAGCUUGCUCCUGGAUUCAGCGGCGGACGGGUGAGUAAUGCCUAGGAAUCUGCCUGGUAGUGGGGGACAACGUUUCGAAAGGAACGCUAAUACCGCAUACGUCCUACGGGAGAAAGCAGGGGACCUUCGGGCCUUGCGCUAUCAGAUGAGCCUAGGUCGGAUUAGCUAGUUGGUGAGGUAAUGGCUCACCAAGGCGACGAUCCGUAACUGGUCUGAGAGGAUGAUCAGUCACACUGGAACUGAGACACGGUCCAGACUCCUACGGGAGGCAGCAGUGGGGAAUAUUGGACAAUGGGCGAAAGCCUGAUCCAGCCAUGCCGCGUGUGUGAAGAAGGUCUUCGGAUUGUAAAGCACUUUAAGUUGGGAGGAAGGGUUGUAGAUUAAUA
rnacentral:rRNA from 1 species